rnacentral:snRNA from 1 species
GGUUGUGAGGGCAGUCUGGCUGGGAUAUCUGUCACCCACUGGUCACCAGGGUUGAUUUGGCUGAUCUGGCUGGAUGGACAGAGGUUCCUUUCCUCCCUCACCACUCCAUGUGUGUCCCUCCUGAAGCACAUGACCUUCCCUGAUAGAGGAGGGUCAUUCUUGGGUCAAGGGCACACGCGUAGUGGCGAUCCUCUGUUAUAACCUCCAAACAAGCCACAAGGUCCAUUUCGUUGAUGGCUUCCUUUGCUGUGCAGGAGCUUUUUAGUUUGAUGUGGUCCUACUUG